GGGCAGACACCUUGAAGGGAGGUAACUCAUGAAGAGGCCUCUCCACAGACACGCCUGGUGAGCUGCAAGUGGGCAAGGAUAGCAAGAAAAUGAGCCCAGACAACGUUGUCCCAAUGCACAUACAGCUUAUGCCACCAGCCACCAAACCAAGCGCCAGGAAUUCUGAAAUACCAUGUGACAUCUCAACAAACCUGGUCAGCUGCUGCUUGGAGACUCCUGGGGCGCAGUUUGAGAUUCUGACAUGUUCAAGGGUGGCAAAAGGCCUGCUCGCUUAGCAACCACAAAGCGGCAGGACAAAAUGGUUUACUUCUUCUGCUGCCAGUGUUUUGGCUUCUGCUCCUUGCGUUUCUGGGCUCUCAUGUCCUUCUUGAGGCGGCUGUCCACCACUUUGAAGUGGCCUCUGACUCCGGCAGGGCUCCGGAACUUCCACCCAGUGCCCUUUUUGGCCACAAGGUAGGUCACCUGCCGUUUCUCCUUGCCUAUCCCCGCCUUCUUGUAAAUGCUGUUAUUGGAGUGGGAGGGAACACAGGGAAAGUGGGGAGUUACGAGCGAAAGGCUUCUCUUCGGAAUCUCUCAUCAAACCCAAUUCUGCCACCUCUUGAGGAGAAACACCCCUACCACAGGGCCCUUGACCUGCCUGAUCAACCACUUUGCUGUCACCCCUAACCUUCAUUUCCAAAGGAACCCUGGCCUACUGCUCCAGAGUCUCUCAUGUUUAUUGAGUUGCUGUUUUACUUAUUCAAUUCAUAUCCCGCCUUUCCUGCGAAAUAGGGAGGUUGCCCUGCCUCCCUGUCUUCUCCUCACAACAAGCCAGUGAGGUAAGUUUGGCUGAGAGACAGUGACUGUCCCAGCAAGCUUCAUGGCUAGAAUAUGGUGGCUAGGUUGCUUUUGGGGGCAAAGUACUGCCAUCACAUAAUACACCUCGCUUGUGCGAUUUGCACUGACUGCCAAUCCUCCACUGGGUCAAGAUGAAGAUAGAGGUGGGAAGGGAAGAGGAAGGAAGCGGGAUCAGUGGAUGCGCCUUUCAUUCUGCCUGGAACUUCUCUAUCUGAGCUGGCUCCCUGCCUGUUACAUUACGUGUGGGGAAACCCGCGUGGGUUCCUCUCUGUGUAAAGUCUUCAAGCUGUGCCUGCGCGCGCCUGACAAAUCUGCCCCAUUGCCUUUCCCUCGUCAAAAAUUAUCUCUCCCCCCCCACCUCCAGUCUCCGUUGUUGUGUGUCCUGGCUGAGGGUGAAAACAGAAGACAGGGGGGUUGAAAGUACUGGCUGCAAUCCUAUCCUCACCUGGGAGUAAGUCCCCUUGAACUCAGAAGGGCUUGCUUCUGAUUCGACAUGUAUAGGCUUGUAAAUUGUAGCUUGUUUCAGCUGCCACAUCAAGCCAGAAAAUCCCAUGAGAACUGCCAUAAAUCACACAGCAAACACUUUUAUGGUGCACAAAUUGCUGUUUUAAUAUCGUGUAUGGGGGGACGGAUGUAGAAACAGGUCCCUGAAAAAUUAAAAUGAAAGGCAACCUGUCUCAUGAAGAACCUGAGAACAAGGAGACCAAAAAAAACAUGUGUAUGUGUACAUGUUUGAUUAUGACUUACCUCCAAAGGUUUUGAAAUGUAGCAGGUAUCAGAUUGAAAUGAAAUGCAUGCAAUUGGAGCACAUCAGCGUAGCCUGCAUCCCAGGACUCAGUAAGCCACUGUGACCAGAUUGCAAAGUUCUUCAUGGGUAAAAAAAAUCACUCACAUCUGUUCCAAUUUGGACACCACAUUAGCAGUAGUUUCAGAUGUACUUCCUGGUUUGUAUGAGGGUGUGGACAGGAUAAAGUAUUUAGGGCAAUCACCUGCACACUUGACCCUCACCCAUCAGAUGAUUAUGCUGGCCAAGCGCAGUGUUUAAUCCUUCUAUUAGUGCCUUUGAAAAUCAAGGGAGGGGUUUGAAUUGUGCUUCAGAGGAUGGAUUACCAGGUUUAGAAUUUUUAUUCUACAGCAGAGAUUGGCCAGUGUCGUCAUUCACUUUCAAAAAUGGUAGCAGCUUGGGGAGGGUGCUGAGAGACAAGAGGGCAUGGAUGGGGGUAGGAGUUUAACCCUUUCCUCCCUGUGCUACUGUCUGACAUAUUUUCCCUCUCAAACAGCCAUCAUUCCCAUGGGCAUAGUAGCUUCGCCAGUGGCGAAGGAUGUUUCGUUGCAACGAUAUCAUGGGAAGGAAGAGUUAAACUCCCCUUUCUGUCAUGUCGACGUCCUCAUCAGGCUC